GACGAACGCUGGCGGCGUGCCUAAUACAUGCAAGUCGAACGCAGUGGGGACGGGUGAGUAACACGUGGGUAACCUCCCAUCAGAGGGGAUAACACUUGGAAACAGGUGCUAAACCGAUACUGAUGGAUGGACCCGCGGUGCAUUAGCUAGUUGGUGAGGUAACGGCUCACCAAGGCCACGAUGCAUAGGCGACCUGUGAGAGUGAUGGGCCACACGGGGACUGAGACACGGCCCAGACACCUCCGGGAGGCAACAGUAGGGAAUUUUCGGCAAUGGACGAAAGUCUAACCGAGGAACGCCGCGGGAGUGAAGAAGGUUUUCGGAUCUUAAAACUCUGUUGUUAGAGAAGCGGUAGCGAACCAGAAAGCCACGUCUACCUACGUGACAGCAGCCGCGGUAAUAC
rnacentral:rRNA from 1 species